rfam:Leersia perrieri chromosome 7, whole genome shotgun sequence.
UAUAUUUGAUAUCAUUGACUUUUCUACAAAAGUUUGACCAUUCGUCUUAUUCAAAAAAUUUAUGUAAAUAUUAUUUAUUUUGUUAUGAGUUGGUUUAUUACUAAAGAAAUUUUAAGCCUAUCUUUUAUUUUCGUAUAUUUGCACAAAUUUUUUGAAUAAGACGAAUGGUCAAACUUUUGUAGAAAAGUCAACGGUGUCAAAUAUA